rnacentral:rRNA from 1 species
AGAGUGAACGCUGGCGGCAGGCCUAACACAUGCAAGUCGAACGGCAGCACAGCAGUAGCAAUACUGUGGGUGGCGAGUGGCGGACGGGUGAGGAAUACAUCGGAAUCUACCUUGUCGUGGGGGAUAACGUAGGGAAACUUACGCUAAUACCGCAUACGAACUAUGGUUGAAAGCGGCGGACCGCAAGGCGUCGCGCGAUUGGAUGAGCCGAUGUCCGAUUAGCUAGUUGGCGGGGUAAAGGCCCACCAAGGCGACGAUCGGUAGCUGGUCUGAGAGGAUGAUCAGCCACACUGGAACUGAGACACGGUCCAGACUCCUACGGGAGCAGCAGUGGGGAAUAUUGGACAAUGGGGGCAACCCUGAUCCAGCCAUGCCGCGUAUGUGAAGAGGCCUGGUUGUAAGCAUUUGUUAGGUAAGAAAGCACUGGCGUAAUACCGUGGUGUCAUGAACGGUAACCAAAGAACUAAGACGACCGGACUAACUCGU